rnacentral:pre_miRNA from 1 species
AGAAUUUUGACCGUCGGUCUACCGAGCAAUAUCACCCGCUCGGUGGAAGAUAUUUCCUUUCGU